rnacentral:rRNA from 1 species
AACGAACGCUGGCGGCAUGCCUAACACAUGCAAGUCGAACGAGACCUUCGGGUCUAGUGGCGCACGGGUGCGUAACGCGUGGGAACCUGCCCUUAGGUUCGGAAUAACUCCCCGAAAGGGGUGCUAAUACCGGAUAAUGUCUUCGGACCAAAGAUUUAUCGCCUUUGGAUGGGCCCGCGUUGGAUUAGCUAGUUGGUAGGGUAAAAGCCUACCAAGGCGACGAUCCAUAGCUGGUCUGAGAGGAUGAUCAGCCACACUGGGACUGAGACACGGCCCAGACUCCUACGUGAGGCAGCAGUGGGGAAUAUUGGACAAUGGGCGAAAGCCUGAUACAGCAAUGCCGCGUGAGUGAUGAAGGCCUUAGGGUUGUAAAGCUCUUUUACCCGGGAUGAUAAUGACAGUACCGGGAGAAUAAGCUCCGGCUAACUACGUG